UGAGAGUUUGAUCCUGGCUCAGGAUGAACGCUGGCGGCGUGCCUAAUACAUGCAAGUCGAACGAGAAAGAUGCAAGUCUUCGGAUGCGCAUCGAGUAAAGUGGCGAACGGGUGAGUAACACGUAGAUGACCUGCCCUCAAGAGCGGGAUAACGCCCCGAAAGGGGUGCUAAUACCGCAUAAGCUCCCGGGGAUUAGAAGCCUGGGAGAAAAACUAAGGUGCUUGAGGAGGGGUCUGCGGCCCAUCAGCUAGUUGGUAGGGUAAAGGCCUACCAAGGCGAAGACGGGUAGGGGGCCUGAGAGGGUGGUCCCCCACACGGGAACUGAGACACGGUCCCGACUCCUACGGGAGGCAGCAGUAAGGAAUAUUGCACAAUGGGCGAAAGCCUGAUGCAGCAACGCCGCGUGCCUGAGGAAGGCCUUCGGGUCGUAAAGGGCUUUUCUGGCCGAAGAGAAAGGACAGUAGGCUAGGAAUAAGUGUCGGCUAACUACGUGCCAGCAGCCGCGGUAAAACGUAGGACACGAGCGUUAUCCGGAUUUACUGGGCGUAAAGCGCGGGAAGGCGGAUGUGCAAGUUGGCUGUGAAAGCUCCCGGCUCAACCGGGAGAGGCCAGUCAAAACUGUGCGUCUGGAGGGCAGUAGAAGCACGUGGAAUUCCGGGUGGAGUGGUGAAAUGCGUAGAGAUCCGGAGGAACACCAGAGGCGAAAGCGACGUGCUGGGCUGCACCUGACGCUGAACCGCGAAAGCCAGGGUAGCGAACGGGAUUAGAAACCCCGGUAGUCCUGGCCGUAAACGAUGUUCACUAGGUAUC
rnacentral:rRNA from 1 species